ensembl:lncRNA
AGAAAAUCUUAUCUACAUUUUGAAGUUGAAGCUGAGGGGUUGAAGAUUAUGUCUGAAUGGACACAUGAAGGAGACUGAGGCAAAAGAAUGAGGGGAAAAUGGAGAGCAUGGCCUUAGAGAGAGAGAAGGCAAGAAAGAGAGCAAAAGAGACGUAGGAGAGUACCGGUACUGGCAAGAAAAACGGGAGGGGGAAGAGAGGACCAGUAAGGGGAUAGACUUGGGAAGGAGGGACAGCUGCAUAGGAAUUGACAAAAAUCGCGGGAAAAAGGGGGGAAAAAAACUCCAGAACGAGAAGAAACUGGACUUCUCUCCAAACUCAGACUCGCACUAUGUGGCCGCCUUUGAUUUUGUUUUCAGACAUGAUUUUUCAUCAGUUCUGAUCAUUCAUCUACUGAACCUGAAACAGCCAGAUCAUCAGGACGGGAUUUUAAAAGGAUUUGAUCCAGUUCUGUCGGACGAGACGAUCGGACUGCAUCGGAAUCGGUAACCAACAAUGGUAACGUCUCAUGUGACGCAUCAAUUGUCAUUUUAAAGUAUUUUUUUCUUUCCCC